UACGGGGGGAGCAAGCGUUGUUCGGAUUUACUGGGCGUAAAGGGCGCGUAGGCGGCCACCGCAAGUCGACUGUGAAAUCUCCGGGCUUAACCCGGAAAGGUCAGCCGAUACCGCGGGGCUAGAGUGCAGAAGGGGCAACUGGAAUUCUCGGUGUAGCGGUGAAAUGCGUAGAUAUCGAGAGGAACACCUGCGGCGAAGGCGGGUUGCUGGGCUGACACUGACGCUGAGGCGCGAAAGCGUGGGGAGCAAACAGG
rnacentral:rRNA from 1 species